rnacentral:rRNA from 1 species
AUACGUAGGGGGCGAGCGUCGUCCGGAAUUACUGGGCGUAAAGCGCGUGUAGGCGGGGGGACAAGUCUGAUGUGAAAGCCCUGGGCUUAACCUGGGAAGCGCAUUGGAAACUGUUUUUCUUGAGUACUGGAGAGGAAGGGGGAAUUCCCGGUGUAGAGGUGAAAUUCGUAGAGAUCGGGAGGAAUACCAGUGGCGUAGGCGCCCUUCUGGACGGUAACUGACGCUGAGACGCGAAAGCGUGGGGAGCAAACAGGAUUAGAUACCCUGGUAGUCCACGCUGUAAACGAUGAUCACUAGGUGUAGCGGGUACUCAUUCCUGCUGUGCCGCAGCUAACGCGUUAAGUGAUCCGCCUGGGGAUUACGGUCGCAAGACUAAA